AGUGAACGCUGGCGGUAGGCCUAACACAUGCAAGUCGAACGGCAGCACAGUAAGAGCUUGCUCUUACGGGUGGCGAGUGUCGGACGGGUGAGGAAUACAUCGGAAUCUACUUUUUCGUGGGGGAUAACGUAGGGAAACUUACGCUAAUACCGCAUACGACCUACGGGUGAAAGCAGGGGAUCUUCGGACCUUGCUCGAUUGAAUGAGCCGAUGUCGGAUUAGCUAGUUGGCGGGGUAAAGGCCCACCAAGGCGACGAUCCGUAGAUGGUCUGAGAGGAUGAUCAGCCACAAUGGAACUGAGACACGGUCCAGACUCCUACGGGAGGAAGAAGUGGGGAAUAUUGGACAAUGGGCGCAAGCCUGAUCCAGCCAUACCGCGUGGGUGAAGAAGGCCUUCGGGUUGUAAAGCACUUUUGUUGGGAAAGAAAAGCAGCAGGUUAAUACCCAGCUGUUCUGACGGUACCCAAAGAAUAAGCACCGGCUAACUUCGUG
rnacentral:rRNA from 1 species